rnacentral:rRNA from 1 species
UACGGGGGGGGCAAGCGUUGUUCGGAAUUACUGGGCGUAAAGGGUUCGUAGGUGGCCUGCUAAGUCAGACGUGAAAUCCCUCAGCUCAACUGGGGAACUGCGUCUGAGACUGGCGGGCUCGAGUGCAGGAGAGGAACGCGGAAUUCCAGGUGUAGCGGUGAAAUGCGUAGAUAUCUGGAGGAACACCGGUGGCGAAGGCGGCGUUCUGGACUGUUACUGACACUGAGGAACGAAAGCCAGGGGAGCAAAC